GGAAACCUGAGCCGUUUUUAGUCGUAAAUGUACCACGGGUCUGGGAAUAGAAAAUUCUGUGGACAGUUCUAGUGGGUCAGGAAGACUUGCGAACCCUCGUUCCCCUGCUCUCGGCGGCGGCUUGUGCGGCAACGGCAGAGGAGCGGCUAGAGUUCCUGUUGGAUCCCGUCGACCGGUUUCCCUUGAGCGACUAAUCAGCUGCUACGGUGGCUGAUUUGAAUGUCGGGUCCGGGUGCGGGCAAGCUGAGGGUGCCGGGAGCCCGGCGAGGGUUGGAGGAGAGGGGCGAUGAAGAAAUAAUGUAUCUACAAUCAGGUCGGCACAGUCGACUAACAGGAAGAAUCCUGAAGCACGCGGCUGACUAAAAGUGGAUGCAGACAUAUGUGCGUGGUUGUGGGUGAUGGUGGUAUAUGCACUGAAAAAUAGAAAAUCUGAAGCGACUCCUUACAUAAUUCGAGGUUGAGGCUCAGUAUUGCACCACCUGACAGGGCACCCUGCGCACCGAGGAUUGAGUUUUGAUUCACUUGGUGAGGCAUACGACUUUUACAACUUGUAUUGUUGGGAGAUUGGCUUUGGGAUUAGGUAUGGCAAAAGCAGAUCGAACGCUGAGAGGAUGAAGUUGAUGCAGGAAAUUAUUUGUGGCUGCUCGCUGAAUGUGUGUGUUGCAGGGGAAGCCGGAAGCGAAGAAUAGCAGUUCGUGCGGUACAUACAGAAGAAUGCGAAGGAGAGCCUGGGCCCUCUGUACACGAAGUGAAAGUGCAAACCACAUGUUGAAGGGUUAUAUGCCACCUGCUAGCCCGAUGCACUUUUUUGUGAGGCAGUAUAUGAGGCUCCAGAUUGAACGUGAGAGGGAGGAAAGCUACGAAGAGUAGAUGACUAAUUGUCAGAAAAACUGAUGUGUCUGUUCGUUGUUCACCGUUGCUGAUUAAUUUUCAAUUUUUCAUUGUCAGUAAAACUGAUAUGUGUUGGUGGUGGCAGGGAGGUGUCGUGAGGAGAACAAAUCUAGCAAUAGAGCAGCAUGCAAGCAAAGUGUGCACUCAUGCUAUGUUUUGGAGCCCCGUCCAAAGGUAGCCCUAGUUUGGAGGCCCAGGAAGGUAGUGUCGGGGCGUCCGUCAGCAUGAAUGCGCUUCAAGGACUAGCACUGUAGGGAGGCCGUCGAACAGCCGGGGAGAAAUCAUCACACGAGGGUCUGAGCAAGUGUACCAGGUUUUGCAGCAUCUGCCCCGCGAAGGCCACAAUCGGACUGACAUGUCCUGGUCGUGGAGAUGCACCUAAACAGCCCCGCAAGCCCGGAAAGUGCAAGAACUAUUGAAUGGAAGAGUGACGCAGGAACACGUGCACACGCCCACUGGUUGGUGCACAGAUGUAGUCCAGAAGAUUUAAAAUUUCGUGUGUAAUGUGCGAUUUGAGGAUUUUCUGGUGUGUGCUGUGAGCCAUGCUCCAGACUUGUUCCUUCGGUGCUUAUUAAUUUUAGUGUUGUUGUAUUGCAUAGUGCUGUACUGUAAGUCAACAACUCAGCAGAACUUCAGAAUUAUGAUAGAAAAAAUGUUGGGUGUCGUAUC